rnacentral:rRNA from 1 species
UGGGGAAUUUUACACAAUGGGCGAAAGUCUGACGGAGCAACGCCGCGUGAGUGAUGAAGGUCUUCGGAUCGUAAAGCUCUGUUAUUCGGGGCGAACGUGCAGAUCGUGAAUAAUGAUUUGUAGUGACGGUACCGAAGGAGGAAGCCACGGCUAACUACGUGCCAGCAGCCGCGGUAAUACGUAGGUGGCAAGCGUUGUCCGGAAUUAUUGGGCGUAAAGAGCGCGUAGGCGGGAUGGACAGUCUGUUGUGAAAUUGCGGGGCUCAACCCCGUAUCGGCAAUGGAAACUUCCAUUCUUGAGUGCAGGAGAGGAAAGUGGAAUUCCCAGUGUAGCGGUGAAAUGCGUAGAUAUUGGGAGGAACACCAGUGGCGAAGGCGACUUUCUGGACUGUGUCUGACGCUGAGGUGCGAAAGCUAGGGGAGCGAACA